rnacentral:misc_RNA from 1 species
GAUGAAGAACGUAGCGAAAUGCGAUACUUGGUGUGAAUUGCAGAAUCCCGUGAACCAUCGAGUCUUUGAACGCAAGUUGCGCCUCAAGCCAUUAGGUUGAGGGCACGUCUGCCUGGGCGUCACAUAUCGUUGCCUGAUGCCAGUUUCCUCGUGAUGGGUGACUGUGCAGGGCGAAUGAUGGCUUCCCGUGAGCAUUGUUGCCUCAUGGUUGGUUGAAAAUUGAGUCCUUGGUAGGGAGCGCCGUGAUAGAUGGUGGUUGAGUGACGAACGAGACCCAAUCAUGUGAGACCCCUACCGAAUUUGGCCUUCAUGACCCACAUGCGUCUUUGGAACGCUCAUGACGAGACCUCAGGUCAGGCGGGGCUACCCGCUGAGUUUAAGCAUAUCAAUAAGCGGAGGU